rnacentral:rRNA from 1 species
GGAGGCAGCAGUGAGGAAUAUUGGUCAAUGGGCGAGAGCCUGAACCAGCCAAGUAGCGUGAAGGAUGAAGGCUUAUGGGUCGUAAACUUCUUUUAUAUGGGAAUAAGUUUUCCACGUGUGGAAUUUUGUAUGUACCAUAUGAAUAAGGAUCGGCUAACUCCGUGCCAGCAGCCGCGGUAAUACGGAGGAUCCGAGCGUUAUCCGGAUUUAUUGGGUUUAAAGGGAGCGUAGGUGGAUUGUUAAGUCAGUUGUGAAAGUUUGCGGCUCAACCGUAAAAUUGCAGUUGAAACUGGCAGUCUUGAGUACAGUAGAGGUGGGCGGAAUUCGUGGUGUAGCGGUGAAAUGCUUAGAUAUCACGAAGAACUCCGAUUGCGAAGGCAGCUCACUAGACUGUUACUGACACUGAUGCUC